AGUGAACGCUGGCGGUAGGCCUAACACAUGCAAGUCGAACGGCAGCACAGUAAGAGCUUGCUCUUACGGGUGGCGAGUGGCGGACGGGUGAGGAAUACAUCGGAAUCUACUUUUUCGUGGGGGAUAACGUCGGGAAACUUACGCUAAUACCGCAUACGACCUACGGGUGAAAGCAGGGGAUCUUCGGACCUUGCGCGAUUGAAUGAGCCGAUGUCGGAUUAGCUAGUUGGCGGGGUAAAGGCCCACCAAGGCGACGAUCCGUAGCUGGUCUGAGAGGAUGAUCAGCCACACUGGAACUGAGACACGGUCCAGACUCCUACGGGAGGCAGCAGUGGUGAAUAUUGGACAAUGGGCGCAAGCCUGAUCCAGCCAUACCGCGUGGGUGAAGAAGGCCUUCGGGUUGUAAAGCCCUUUUGUUGGGAAAGAAAAGCAGCAGGUUAAUACCCCGCUGUUCUGACGUUACCCAAAGAAUAAGCGCCGGCUAACUUCGUG
rnacentral:rRNA from 1 species